AAAAAAAAAGCAUCGUUUUGCGGGCCAGAUGCUGCCAAACACAAGCAACCCACGGAAGAACUGGCACAGUGAGCAGACAAGCAUGUGGAAGCAGUUUAUGAAGAAAUAGUUAAAUCCCGAGCUUUGCCCCGGCCGAUGCUAGCUCCUGAGCUGAUGUUAAGAAGUGGCUUCUAGCAGGUGUGAGGGAGAAGACAAGGCAGAUUUUGGCCCUCACAAAUACUCUUCCAACUGUGCCUGCUUCCAGGAAAAAGGAAGACAAAGCAGAAACAGCAGCUUCCAGAAUUCCACUUCUUCUGCAAAGGAUAAAUAUAAAUCAAUUGCACAAGAACAUAGCCUGAAUUCAGUUAAACUGAACAAGACCUCCCUGCUUUCUGAGACCUGUCCUAUUAAGUCUGUUCCUGAUUAAAAGAGAAUUAACUUCUGCGAACAAUUAAGCAAGUGGCUUUAAAAGAAAACCGGAGAAGCAGCAGAUGGUGAGGCACACAGGCAUCUUUGGUAGUUCAGGGAUGGAGUGAACAGUGAGUUGACUUUCACAUGCUUGGGCUUUUUAGUGUCCACUGAAGAGAUGAUGAGCCACCAGGCAGUGAAGAUUAAAAAAUAAUUUGCUAAUUUAUAAAUCCAAUAUCUGCUUCAUGUUCUUAACAGGAAGAUAUCAAAGAAAAAGAGACAAUGGAGAUCGAGGAUAAGAACAGGUAAAAAAAAUAAUUAACUCCUGAAAUAAUUUUCUGUUAGGCUGACAAGUUCUUGCUCAAACCCCCAUGGUCAGUAGGUUAAAGGCUGAGUCUGAAACUUGCCUAGCGUUUGUACAAAGUUGGUACUUUUAGAGGUGAAAUUAAUUUCUUAAGCUACAAAAUCAUACAUAAGUGCCAGAUUCUGCUGCAUUUACUUAUGAAUGGUGUCUGUGAAAUUAGUGAGAACUGCUUGAAAAAAUUCAUCACUCCUGUGAGUAACGGUUUUAUAGUCUGACUUUCAAUUUACAUUCAGUCUACAUUCACUGUAGCAUUUUUUUGAAAACAAGUGAAAGAGAAGUUUUCUUCCUGCGGUUGUCUAACUUUGAAUUCAACAUAUUGUUUUACUGGGAAGAAUGUAUAAUCUUGCUAACAGAUAAACAGCAAAGCAA